rnacentral:rRNA from 1 species
UCGAGCGGGCGUAGCAAUACGUCAGCGGCAGACGGGUGAGUAACGCGUGGGAACGUACCUUUUGGUUCGGAACAACACAGGGAAACUUGUGCUAAUACCGGAUAAGCCCUUACGGGGAAAGAUUUAUCGCCGAAAGAUCGGCCCGCGUCUGAUUAGCUAGUUGGUGAGGUAACGGCUCACCAAGGCGACGAUCAGUAGCUGGUCUGAGAGGAUGAUCAGCCACAUUGGGACUGAGACACGGCCUAAACUCCUACGGGAGGCAGCAGUGGGGAAUAUUGGACAAUGGGCGAAAGCCUGAUCCAGCCAUGCCGCGUGAGUGAUGAAGGCCCUAGGGUUGUAAAGCUCUUUUGUGCGGGAAGAUAAUGACGGUACCGCAAGAAUAAGCCCCGGCUAACUUCGUGCCAGCAGCCGCGGUAAUACGAAGGGGGCUAGCGUUGCUCGGAAUCACUGGGCGUAAAGGGUGCGUAGGCGGGUCUUUAAGUCAGGGGUGAAAUCCUGGAGCUCAACUCCAGAACUGCCUUUGAUACUGAAGAUCUUGAGUUCGGGAGAGGUGAGUGGAACUGCGAGUGUAGAGGUGAAAUUCGUAGAUAUUCGCAAGACACCAGUGGCGAAGCGCCUCACUGGCCCGAUACUGACACUGAG